rnacentral:lncRNA from 1 species
GGGCAAUUAAUGGUGCUGGACACAUACUAGCUAUAAACACUUCUUCAUAUUUCAUCCAUAUUUAACCAAAUCCUUUUUAUCAACAUACAAAUGUUGUCUGACAAGUUUGAAGCGUUCAAGUGGAUGCAGUGUUCAGAAAAAACCAAUCCCAAGCAGUAAAUACAUAGAAGCAGUAUAUAUGUGAAAAUUAUUAGACUCUCUGGUCAUGAAUUUGAAU